UACGUAGGGGGCAAGCGUUGUCCGGAUUUAUUGGGCGUAAAGAGCGUGUAGGCGGCCAGGUAGGUCUGCUGUGAAAACUCGAGGCUCAACCUCGAGACGUCGGCGGAAACCAUCUGGCUAGAGUCCGGAAGAGGAGAGUGGAAUUCCUGGUGUAGCGGUGAAAUGCGCAGAUAUCAGGAGGAACACCAAUAGCGAAGGCAGCUCGCUGGGACGGUACUGACGCUAAGGCGCGAAAGCGUGGGGAGCGAACAGG
rnacentral:rRNA from 1 species